GCCUGGCUAGCUCAGUUGGUAGCUGUAAGACUUUUAAUUUUAGGCUCAUGGGUUCAAGCCCCAUGCUGGGUG
rnacentral:tRNA from 1 species